UACGAGGGGGGCAAGCGUUGUUCGGAUUUACUGGGCGUAAAGCGCACGUAGGCGGAUUGUUAAGUCAGGGGUGAAAUCCCCGGGCUCAACCUGGGAACUGCAUUUGUGACUGCACGGCUAGAGUGUGUCAGAGGGGGGUAGAAUUCCACGUGUAGCAGUGAAAUGCGUAGAGAUGUGGAGGAAUACCGAUGGCGAAGGCAGCCCCCUGGGAUAGCACUGACGCUCAUGCACGAAAGCGUGGGGAGCAAACAGG
rnacentral:rRNA from 1 species